GAUGAAGAACGUAGCGAAAUGCGAUACUUGGUGUGAAUUGCAGAAUCCCGUGAACCAUCGAGUCUUUGAACGCAAGUUGCGCCCGAAGCCAUUAGGCCGAGGGCACGCCUGCCUGGGCGUCACACGUCGUUGCCCCCCCAUCUACUCCUUCGGGAUUGCGGGGGGCGGAUGAUGGCCUCCCGUGCGCCUCGUCGCGCGGUUGGCAUAAAUGCCAAGUCCUCGGCGACGCACGCCACGACAAUCGGUGGUUGCGAAACCUCGGUUGCCCGUCGUGUGCGGUCGUCGCGCAUCGAGGGCUCGAAAAAAUUGCCGGGCUCCGGCUCGGCUUUCAACGCGACCCCAGGUCAGGCGGGGUUACCCGCUGAAUUUAAGCAUAUCAAUAAGCGGGGGA
rnacentral:misc_RNA from 1 species